AAUAGUUUUAUAUAAGUUAUUAAAAAUAUUAAAUAUAUGGUUUAAAUAUUUUUGGUUUUAUUGUUGUUUAUUUGGAUUUGGACUGAUCAAGUCUAAUAGUAAUUAGUUUAUCUAUUAAAUAUUAGUUGCAUUUUCUUAUUAAAUUAAUAGAUGAGGGUGGGCAAACUUUUUUGAUUGUGGAUCACAUGGACUUCUGUAAAGUCUCUAGCAGUCCUUAUGUAAAAAAGUAUUUUUACUUCCUUUUGAUAUAUGAGGUACUCAUAGUGAAGAAAAGUAUUGUGAUCAUACUAGAAACCAACAUCUUAUCAAUGAAUUUUCAUGGCUACUUCCUACUGCUACCAUUACUUCAAAAUCUGUUUCCCCAAUAUGUUACACAUACAAAAUAUUAUUGGAGAGUCAAGUGGUGCACUCCAGAUUUGUAUGCUAAAGCACUUCAAAGGGGUGCUUUAGCAUAUAAAAUCUAAAUUUAAUCAAUUAUGUUGUUUGUUUAUAUAAUUUAACAUUUUUUGAUAAAAUUUUUAAAACUUGAC
rnacentral:lncRNA from 1 species